UACGUAGGUGGCAAGCGUUGUUCGGAAUUAUUGGGCGUAAAGGGCGCGUAGGCGGUUUGUUAAGUCAGCUGUGAAAGCCCGGGGCUCAACCCCGGAGGGUCAGUUGAUACUGGCAGACUAGAGUACAGAAGAGGUAACUGGAAUUCCCGGUGUAGCGGUGAAAUGCGUAGAUAUCUGGAGGAACACCGGUGGCGAAGGCGGCAUCCUGGACCGGCAUUGACGCUGAGGCGCGAAAGCCAGGGGAGCAAACGGG
rnacentral:rRNA from 1 species